rfam:Candidatus Amoebophilus asiaticus 5a2, complete genome.
GGGGUCGACUGGAUUUGACGAUAAGUUCAGAUGCAAUGUAAGCAUGCGAGGUGUUGUAAGUAGUACCUCUUAUAACAAACUUUCACUAUUAUAAUUGGCAACAAUCAAGUAGCCCUUGCUGCCUAAUUGAUAAUUAGGUAAGCAACUGUCUCGCUAACCUUUUGUUCUGCAAGGUUAGCAUAGAGGCAUCAUCUAGUAGAACUAGCUAUAGUAGGUUACGUGAUAUUAUAGCGAAGUUGAGCGCGUAUAAGGAUUGUUCUAAGGUAUGUAACUAACCUAGGAGCAUCCCGACAAUAGAUAGUUACUAAGCAUGUAGAAAGCAUUGUUUUUGCUUGUUCGGACGAGGGUUCGAUUCCCUCCGACUCCACUU